AGGUUUAUAAUUUUCGGUUCUCUUCCUCCGUCGACCGAACUAGAUUCCUCACUGGCUUCCCAUGGAGACGCCGCCUCCACCAUCCUCCCCGCCGUCCGUUCUCGCCCACCUGCGGUCCCUCCUCUCCGCCGCCUCUUCCGCCCUAUCCUCUCUCCCCUCCCCACUCCUCCCCUGCUCCACCACCACCACGGCGACGACCGCCACAUCCUCCACCCUCCCCACACCUGCGCCCACCACCCCGCUCCCAUCUCUCCCCUCUUCACCGGCUUCCGAAAUCCCCCUCCCCCUCCCGGCUGCGCCCGCCCCCUACUACGACUGCCCAGCCGUCUUCUGCACCACCAACCAACCGCCCGCCUCGUCCUCCCUCCCCGCCUUCCUCGCCGCCGAGUGUGCAGACUUCUCCUCCUCCACUACCGCCCCAACCCUCUCCUCUCCUCCCCGCAUCCUCCCGUCUGAGCUCUGCCUCCUGCGUCGGGAGGUGGACUCCUGGGGCAGCCAUCAUCCGCCCGGCGCAUACUCCUACGCUGCGGCCCGCGUGGUGGAGGCACUGCGGCUUGGUGCCCUGCAGUGGGAAGUCGAGCUGCGGCGCUGGUUGCUCGCGAGCUCACCGAGAUAUGGUAUCGUGAUUGAUGCGGCCAGUCGAGACUAUGUGUUUGUGCUGGUCAGGCUGUGUCUGAAGGCGGCGGCGGCGGAGGCAGGGUGCUCGCUGGAACGCCUGCCCAAGGAGGAGAGCGAGGGGUUUCGUCUUGAUCCGAGGGCUGUGCGGUUUGAGUGCCCCAGGCUGGUCGAUGGUGUCUCCUGGUUGGCGGGGCAGCUCGAGAUUUUGUAUGGGAAGAGCAAUGGCUGGUUCUUCGCGAUUACGGCGGUGAAGGAGGCAAUUCUUAGGUUGGGGUCUUGUUUGGCUGUCUGUGUUGGAGAUGGUGUUGCUGGAGGCGCUAGUGAAAAAGGAUGUGAGUUGAGAGAUAUUGGGACAUGCCCUAUUUUUGUUUCCCAGGUUGCUGCUGCCAUUGCAGCCUUGCAUGAGAGAUUGUCCCUGGAUAAGAAGAUUCGGGCUCUGCAAGCACCACGCCCAUCCAAAUAUCAGCUGUUACUUGAAUAUUCACAAAUCCUGAAACAAGGCUGUGAUGAGCGAUCAAAGCGACCGAACUACAGAGCUGUUCUGGAUUAUGAUGGAAUUCUACCACGCCAAAUGGAUAACCAGGAAUCUGGUAGGUCCAAGACAAGGGAGGAGCUGUUAGCUGAAGAACGGGAUUACAAGAGAAGACGAAUGUCUUACCGUGGCAAGAAAAUGAAGCGAAAUCCAACAGAGAUAUUAAGAGACAUAAUUGAUGAGCACAUGGCGGAAAUAAAACAGGCAGGUCUGGUUGAUUGCCUUGGGGAAGCUCCUGGUGACAUUGCACAAAAUAUACUUAAGACCAAUUCUCAUGGAGGCGCUGACCAAGGAAGCUCUUGUGAUAGGGCUGUUUUGGGUUCUCGAUUACCUAGUCGUGAGAACUCACCACAUACUGCAUCAAGGAGCCAUGACACAAGGGAUUCAUAUACGAACAUAAAAUAUGAAAAUAGUGGACACCAUCACCAAAAUCUGUCUGAGCAUGAGAAAGGAGGGAUCAAUGAAUCAGAAAGUGCAAUGAAUCGAGGCUAUUCUGAGCGGCAUGAUUACAUACAUAAAAGAAACACCAAUGAUCAAAGGAAAUAUGGUAAUAAGUAUAAAAAGAACAUCCCAGAAUAUCAUUCUGAAUCAAGUGAUCGUUCAGCAUGGUCCACACGAACACCAAAAUCCUCGGAGAGAGAAUACGGCGGCAUGCCAGGAGAUAAAAGCAAUGAUAGAACUAGAACUACUCAGAACCGACAUAGAUCAAUGCCUGGGAAUAAAGACCAGUUCAGUGAUAGAUAUGAUCCCCAGAGCAGAUAUUCUGAUGAGGAUCCUCCGACAAGCAUGUGUUGUGAUAUAUCUGAAGGAAAACAUGAAACAUACCAUGAUGCGACCCAUCCUCGUGAACAUCGUAUAAGAAAGCGUGAUCUGAAUUACUGAAAGGAACAUGGUACAUUUUCCGUUGAUCUCAGUAUACUAUGUAAUACAGGCAUCUGGGUUAAUACCUUCAGCUGUAUCCUUUUUUUGUAUCCUUAUGCAGAAAAUGCUUUACUAUUUCUGGUGCGAUUGUAAUGACAGUCUGUUGCGGUUCCUGAAUAUGGGAAGUUAUUAAUUAGUGCAUUCUCUUGCUUAUAAAUAACAUUCAUUUUGCAAAUCUAAUUUCCAUCUAACUUCAACUAAUAAAAAACGGAAUAUCAUGUAGGGUGCAUAUGUUUCCUGUUCACAAUCAAUCUUUUAAAACGGCUUCCUGUUAGUUUUGAAGCAUGCAUUCGUAAUAACUUCGCUAUGGAAUUUUAUCGUUUUUAGUUUGGGGACCCUUUUAGUUUUGAACUGGCAGGGAUUUCAGUUGUGAACCUUUGCCUGGAAAGGGCAUGACUGGAAUAAAUUUUCUUCACCUAUCUGCUUGCAUUGCAUCUACUGCAGAUGCUACUCAUGCAUAAUUAUUGGUUCAUGUUAUUUUUGGUGGGCCUAGUUUUCCUACAAUGAGUUCUGUAAGCGUAGGCCAAACUUAAGCACCACACCCCAGUAGUUGUGACCUGUAUUGUCCUAUUUUUUCUGGAUUGUGUGUCGCUCUACUGGUAGGUAGUGUUAAAAUGGUUUUUUAUACCUAUCAAGUACUUUCACAUAAGAAAGGGAUGUAGGUAGCACUGAAGUAGGGUUCAGCAUCUGCCAAGAUGUAGCCAGGUACAGCUUAUGCAUCAUGAUAGAGACGCUUGAGAUACAUUUUAAAAAUUCUUUUCGGUUAUGGAUGAUACUUAAUAUAUCAUGAAAAACAUCUUACAGUCCAAUGGAUUAUUAGGUGCCCUCCGAUGUCCAAGCUUGAUGAAGCAGCACUUACACAAUCAUUCCCAGUGGUGGAUGUGAGGAACACAUGUUUUGCCUUUGCUGUUUGUACUUCUUUAGCUUUGCAACAUGGAGGAGCACGCUCAAGUCUCUGACAGUGGCCUCAAUUAGGUUAACUCACGCACCUCAUGUUGGGCUGGGCUGUACCUGGAUGUGUCUAAAAUGUGUGCACUAAGUUCCCACGGGCAAUGAUAUUUGUUUUAAUUGUUUAUUCACCCCAUACUCAUGUAUCUGAUUGUUUGUGCUUGGUAUUAUGUAUUGGAUAUGGAUACAGCCAUCAAGAUCAUACUACCUUGAAAUUCAACCAACCUGAUGUUUAUCAUUUUUACCAGCUUCCACAACAAGUCCUCUUCACUGACAAGUACUAAAAUGGAAUCAUUCAAUCAAAGCUGUAACGUCCCUUGGAAAAGAUAGCAGGACUCUACCGUUUCCAUAAACAAACUUAAUACGUAUUAAAUUACUUUAUUUGUAUGUUUUUAUAGCAACUACUUGCUUACAUAAAAUCUCGAAUAUAUUUAAAUCUUUGUUCAGGAUGCUGUUCAUAUGUUUAUAUAUUAACUGAAAGUUCAUCUUUGUUGCCCUUUUGUUUGUGGUAUUUCUGCAGUGAGACACUGAAAAGCUGAGGAGAAGAAUUUGAUUGCACUUUGCAUGAACAUGUGAAUAAAACCUGAAAGCCACAUAGAAGUAUCUGAGCCGGAUGUUGAAGUUUGAUGAACCAUGUAGACAACAAUAAUUUUGAUAGGUAGAUCAUCUUCUUAGUUCUGUUUAGCUCAUGGCAUUCAUGGCGUUUUACCCCUUUGGCGUGCUCUGGCCAUUCUGUCCAUCCUGCUGGUAAGGUGUUUCCUAGAGCACAAAACCUUCCUUCGCCAAUCAAAGUUCAGCGCAUGGGUUGUUCGAGAAACCUUCCUAGAGCACAAAACCUUCCUUCGCCAGUACCACACCCUGCCUUCUCCUCUGGAACUGUUUUCUUCUUGCGGCUGGAGCUGGUACGAGCACCAGUUGUACUGAACCCCCCAGGAUUUGGUGAAAACCUUUGUGCACCCUCCUCAUGUUAAGUAGAUAGUAUUUUUUGCCAAAAAUUAAAGGAGGUGUGCAGCAAAA